rnacentral:rRNA from 1 species
UACGAAGGGGGCUAGCGUUGCUCGGAAUUACUGGGCGUAAAGCGCACGUAGGCGGCUUUCUAAGUCGGGGGUGAAAUCCUGGAGCUCAACUCCAGAACUGCCUUCGAUACUGGAGAGCUCGAGUCCGGGAGAGGUGAGUGGAAUUCCUAGUGUAGAGGUGAAAUUCGUAGAUAUCAGGAGGAACACCGAUAGCGAAGGCAGCUCGCUGGGACGGUACUGACGCUGAGGCGCGAAAGCGUGGGGAGCGAACAGG